rnacentral:misc_RNA from 1 species
GAAGAUAAUUAGGAUCUAGAGACUGCGUCCAUGUGGCGUGUGCUCGAUCCUUAUUCUUUCAUCCACACACACCUUUGUGCACUAUGGGGACGUCAAAGUCCCCCUUUUCAUACCAAACACCGAGUUUACAUGCAUGUCUUUUAUAUACUCUAAGGAGUAAAAUAAUACAACUUUCAACAACGGAUCUCUUGGCUUU